rnacentral:siRNA from 1 species
GCCAUCUUGGUGGUACAUGAAAGG